UACAGAGGCCCCAAGCAUUACCCGGAUUUACUGGGCGUAAAGGGAGCGUAGAUGGUCAUGUUAGUCGUUCGUCAAAUCCCGAAGCUUAACUUCGGACCUGCGAACGAAACGGCAUGACUAGAGGGUGCGAGAGGUCUGUGGAACUCAUGGUGUAGGGGUAAUAUCCGUUGAUAUCAUGGGGAACACCGAAAGCGAAGGCAGCAGACUGGCGCAUUCCUGACAUUGAGGCUCGAAAGCUAGGGUAGCGAACGGG
rnacentral:rRNA from 1 species